rnacentral:rRNA from 1 species
AGCGAACGCUGGCGGCAGGCUUAACACAUGCAAGUCGAGCGGACCUUUCGGGGUCAGCGGCGGACGGGUGAGUAACGCGUGGGAACGUGCCUUCCGGUUCGGAAUGACCCUGGGAAACUAGGGCUAAUACCGGAUACGCCCUUAUGGGGAAAGGUUUACUGCCGGAAGAUCGGCCCGCGUCUGAUUAGCUAGUUGGUGGGGUAACGGCCUACCAAGGCGACGAUCAGUAGCUGGUCUGAGAGGAUGAUCAGCCACACUGGGACUGAGACACGGCCCAGACUCCUACGGGAGGCAGCAGUGGGGAAUAUUGGACAAUGGGCGCAAGCCUGAUCCAGCCAUGCCGCGUGAGUGAUGAAGGCCUUAGGGUUGUAAAGCUCUUUUAUCCGGGACGAUAAUGACGGUACCGGAGGAAUAAGCCCCGGCUAACUUCGUG